GGGAAACCGAAAUUUUACUACUCGUUAGCACGGGAAACCCAACCCUAAACGAAGCUACUGGUUGUAGCCGAAGUAACCAGAAAAAAUCAAAUCAAGACACGAACUUGAUAGAUACAGUAGGACGAUGGCAUGCGAUGGGUUGGUCGGGAGGUAGAGACUUUUAUUACGCCUUGGUGGGCAGCACCGGCACGACGAAGUGCUGCGCGACGAUGCGGCGCUGGAUCUUGCCGGUGGCCGUCUUGGGAAGCUCGUCGGCGAUGUACACCUUCUUGGGCACCUUGAACGCGGCCAGGUUCCUCCGGCAGUAGGCCAGCACCUCCUCUUCCCCGAGCGACACGCCCUCCCGGGGGAUCACCGCGCAGUUGAUCUCCUCCCCGUACUUGGCGUCGGGCACCC
rnacentral:misc_RNA from 1 species